rnacentral:lncRNA from 1 species
UUAACCCAUAUUGUGUUUAAAAUGAGCAAAUGCUGACCACCCUUGCUAUAUUUGUCUUUAUAUCUUAAACCUCAUCUCUUACAUAAUGAAAGUAGGAAAGCAGAUUGCAGUGUUAGAUAAGUCGUUUCAAAGGUGCUUUAUAUGAUAUUCAUGUUAUGCUAACUGCUUGAUGUGAUACCAGAAGAGAACCUAAGUGACACACAUGGAUUAAUUUACUACCAUUUUUAAUUUGAAUUAAUCAGAUUCAUUGAUAAAUUGGUAUUUUUUCCAAACAGAUUUCUAAUGUUGUCCAUUCUUACCAGAUGUUAUAUGUACAAGGCAUUAUUAAUAAUAAACGGUUGUUCAAACAUAUUGAUAUAUAUAUAUAUAUAUAUAAUAUAAUAAAUGUACACAAAUAAUAAAGAGACAAGAUAGAGAGAAAGAGAGUGAGAGCAAGAGAGAAACAUUUAUCUUGCAAUGGCUUCAAAACACUAUCUUUUAUACCUUGCAUGAAUGAUAAAUAUUAUUUUGGAGGUUGCAUAUUUUAUACAAGGCUAAAUAGAUAAUUACCUGACUUUUGAAUAGAGUUAAAUAUUAUGUUGAUAUAUGAGGCAUUACCUUUGAGUUUUCUCCACUUUUCUUACAGGGUGUUUAAUGGCUACGAUUACCCUAGAGGGUCUUGCACAUUAGCUUGUGUUUUCUCAAUAGAAAAUGACACUAUCUACAUACAGUAAG